UUUGGUGGAAAGGGUUUCAACCGAACCCUAGCCGCCUUCCUUUCUCUCUCUCCAUCACGAUUUUGCCGAAAAUGGCAAAGGAUCAGACGCGUUUUGCUUUUCUAUAGGAUUUGUGUGUCUAUUUCGGUAAUUUUUCUCUCACCCUCUCAUCCUCAUCACCGCAUGUCAACCCAAAACAAGGAUUCUAGGAUUAACAAGAAGCUCAAGGAUCUCCAAUUCCAUUUUCUCGACUAGGCUGCACUAAAGAAAGGUAAUUUUUUUUCCUUCUUUUUAAUUUAUGUAAUUUCUUAAUGUGUUUGUGUGUUUAUUAGUUUAGUUCUAGCUAGAUUAGUUCAAUUUAGUAAGGAUGUGCUAGAUUAGGGUAUCACAUGUUAAAUUCUUGUUUGUUUCCAGAUUAUUUUAAUGCUUAGUUUGACUAUAUGAUUAAGAUUAGGGGUGUACAUGAACCGGGUUGAUUCGGAUUUUAUAAAUACCAAACCAAACCAAUUGUGUUGGGUUCUUAAAUUAUAAACCAAACCAAACCAAUAAAAUUUGGGUUUUUCAACUUCGGGUUUUCUCGGUUUAUUCAGUUUUUUCGGG